UGUUCAGUGCCCUUAUAUUGAUCCAUACAUGUUUGCAAGACUGUGCAGGAUGCUUUGGAGAAAGAAUGGAGAGCAUAAGGAGACCAGAGAGAGGCAGAAGAAAGCUGGCCUUCAGCCUCAGUGUCAGACACUGGGAAAUAAGUGGUCAGGGGAAAGGCACAGAUGAAAAUGAGACUCAAUGGCUGCCUGAGCACUUGGUGCAGUGUGUAGAACAGAGGAAUGCUGGCCCUGAUGACACUGUAGCUGCUGAUGCUCCCCCAGAGGAACUGGAGUGAGAGUUGCUGAACCUGUGUUCCUGAUCCUCCAAUGUUACAUCCUGCAUUCUGGGAAUGGAGAGAAUGGUUCCCAGGCUCCUGAUUUCCCAGGCCUCUUUGCUCACUGUAACAGCAGCACAAUUGGACACAGUGAAUGACAUCAUCAAGAAGUUAGGACCAUUGCUGAAAUACCUGCAAGAGACUUGAAAAUUCUUUUUAUUUAUUCAAUGUCUUUUUUGUGAUCCAUUAGUAUUUAAAUAAAUGAAUAAACAUCAUAGAGAAAUACCUCAUUACCCUAUGUAUGAAAAUUUUCUAUCUCCUUCCACUUUCAGAAGUCAUCUGACAGAUUACAUUUGUCUAUAUAUGGCCACUGCUCUUGUAUUUUCCAAUGAAAUUCCAUGUAAGUGAGCCCAUGUGAAGUGCAUUUGUACCACUAGAGCACAAUAAGCUCUGUGUAUGUGACAUGAAAAUGCAUGUAUACACAAAUUGUAUGAAUUGUUUGUAAAUAUAUGUACAUACCCAAUGAACAUGAUGUAACAUUGUCAAU